UACGAAGGGGGCUAGCGUUGCUCGGAAUGACUGGGCGUAAAGGGCGCGUAGGCGGUUCGUACAGUCAGACGUGAAAUUCCCGGGCUCAACCUGGGGACUGCGUUUGAUACGUGCGGGCUUGAGUUCGGAAGAGGGUCGUGGAAUUCCCAGUGUAGAGGUGAAAUUCGUAGAUAUUGGGAAGAACACCGGUGGCGAAGGCGGCGACCUGGUCCGAUACUGACACUGAGGAGCGAAAGCCAGGGGAGCAAACGGG
rnacentral:rRNA from 1 species